rnacentral:tRNA from 1 species
ACCUGGCUGGCUGGUAGAGCUUGUGACUUUUGAUCUCAGGGUUGUGAGUUCGAGCCCCACGUUGGGUG